CCUAACACAUGCAAGUCGAACGGUAACAGGAAGAAGCUUGCUUCUUUGCUGACGAGUGGCGGACGGGUGAGUAAUGUCUGGGAAACUGCCUGAUGGAGGGGGAUAACUACUGGAAACGGUAGCUAAUACCGCAUAACGUCGCAAGACCAAAGAGGGGGACCUUCGGGCCUCUUGCCAUCGGAUGUGCCCAGAUGGGAUUAGCUAGUAGGUGGGGUAACAGCUCACCUAGGCGACGAUCCCUAGCUGGUCUGAGAGGAUGACCAGCCACACUGGAACUGAGACACGGUCCAGACUCCUACGGGAGGCAGCAGUGGGGAAUAUUGCACAAUGGGCGCAAGCCUGAUGCAGCCAUGCCGCGUGUAUGAAGAAGGCCUUCGGGUUGUAAAGACUU
rnacentral:rRNA from 1 species